rnacentral:rRNA from 1 species
UACGGAGGGUGCAAGCGUUAUCCGGAUUUAUUGGGUUUAAAGGGUCCGUAGGCGGAUCUGUAAGUCAGUGGUGAAAUCUCACAGCUUAACUGUGAAACUGCCAUUGAUACUGCAGUUCUUGAGUAAAGUAGAAGUGGCUGGAAUAAGUAGUGUAGCGGUGAAAUGCAUAGAUAUUACUUAGAACACCAAUUGCGAAGGCAGGUCACUAUGUUUUAACUGACGCUGAUGGACGAAAGCGUGGGGAGCGAAC